rnacentral:misc_RNA from 1 species
UGGCUCUCGCAUCGAUGAAGAACGCAGCGAAAUGCGAUAAGUAAUGUGAAUUGCAGAAUUCAGUGAAUCAUCGAAUCUUUGAACGCACCUUGCACCUCUCGGUAUUCCGAGGGGUAUGCCUGUUCGAGUAUCAUCAUAUCAUCAACCGGCGAGGUCUUUAACUGGACUUUGCCUGGAUUGGAACUUGGAGCGUGCGGGUUGUCUGCUGACGAUCUGCUCCUCUCGAAAUACAUUAGUGACUCGCUUACUGUCUCACUUUGACGUGAUAAUUAUCUACGUCGCCGUGUUGCAUAGUCCGGUGGUCGCUCAUUAACCGUCCUUCGGUGGACAAAAGUAAAAGUACUCAUGAUUCGGUCUCGAAUCAGGCAGGAUUACCCGCUGA